CCUCCCACUCUCCCUCCUUUCUCUCACCAGUAUCUGCUGGCACCACCUGGAAGCAGCAGCUCAGACCCUCUCCUGACCUCUGCCACUCACCCAGGUGGUCUCCUCCCAGCAGGUGCAGCCACUAUGUCACCCUGGGCUUCUGUCCACCUGCCAGGACUUGGAGCCAAGCUGGGUCUCCUUGCAAUCCUGUGCGCCCUCCUGUUUCCCGAUGCUGGAAUGAAAUCCUCUGAAGCGUAUUACACACAGUGAUGCACACAGCUGUGAUUUCAUUCAGCAAAUGUGGUCUGGCACCUUUACUGCCUGAAAACAUGAUCUGCAUCCUUCCGUGUAAGGUUGCUAGAAAUUGGCUUCAUGUGAUCUUCACCAGGAGACUGAGAAGAUAGACUUUCACUUAAGACUUUGUGUAUCCCUGUCUUUGGGGGCACUGAUGUCCCUCCUGGUCAAAGGACAGGAGUGGGUGCUGAGGGGCAUAAAGGGUGGACUUCGUUGAAUGCCUUCUGUAUUCCCCUUAGAAUUGAUUUUCCUCAUUUCUUUACCCUGCUCUGUGUUCUAGGAGGCUAACGCCCACGGACUACACUAAUGGACAUCUUUGUUGUGACUUCCACUGAAUGUCGGCCAGUGAGAGUUGAAGUUCAAAGGAACCAUGACCUCAUCAUUUGACAACAAUUUCCAUUCCUUGGGCACUAGACUUCCAAACCUGUGGAUCCAGGGCCCUGGGAGAAAAGAAACAGAUUCUUCUAGUGGGUUAAUUGGUAUAAAAAGGAAUGGCCACUCCCACCUACACCUCUUGGGUCCUGAGCACAAAUUCUGUCUCUGGGGUAGAAGGCCCUAUAUGUUGGCCCCAGGGGAGGAUGCAGCCAACCCAAGGCCACCUGUCAGGAGGGAACCCUGAGCUCACUCUGCUCCCAACUCCCAGCCUCCUCCUGAUGCUUCCAUUGACCGCUUCCAAACAGUAACCAAAGGAUAAGGAAGACCAUCCAUGCGGUCCAUGAGGGUCCACCUCGUAAUGCCCAGAAUGAGGUAAAGAAAGAUGGACAGUCCAUCUGGAGGAGCAAAAGGAAGAAAUCAAGCAGAUGGUCACUUAAGUGGGUUAUGUUUUCCACCAAAUAAGUAAAAUAAGCUGGGGAAUAGGGGGCCACUUUGAAUUUGCUUAAUGUUUGUUAACUUUUCAAGAAUAUAUGUCGGCAUUUGUGAGCAAAUUUGGGUUGUCUCAGACCUGCUGCCCUACCCAGUGGAGCCUUGUCAGGACACUAUGAGGGCCACUCAUGAAGCCAUGGCUAAGGGUCACAGUGGGCACGCAUCUGAAUGAGUUCCUUUGUGGACAUUCUGCCCCAGGACCCUUCCUGCUAGUGGAAGGGAAAAAGCUAACAAAAAUCACAUAUCUUCUCUGUUUAGUGAGCUAGUUUUAGCAGAAAGUGUCAGGGAAAAUACACGGAGAGCACUCAAAAUCCCAUAACCAGACUUAAACACUCACAAUGUGCAAAGAGGAUGAUGCUUUGGAAAUCUGUAGCUGGAAGAGUUUUAUUUUCCCAUAUACAUCAUGUCACUGGGAGCCUUUCUCAGGUUACACCAAACAUUGACAGAUACCAUCCACAAAAGCAGGCAGUGGCUGUGCCCAGAAUAAGCUCAUUUUAAAAGUUAAUCAUGAGUUGGGGCGCCUGGGUGGCUCAGUCGGUUAAGCGUCCGACUUCGGCCCAGGUCAUGAUCUCGUGGUCUGUGAGUUCAAGCCCCGCGUCGGGCUCUGUGCUGACAGCUCAGAGCCUGGAGCCUGCUUCAGAUUCUGUGUCUCCCUCUCUCUCUGACCCUCCCCUGUUCAUGCUCUGUCUCUGUCUCAAAAAUAAAUAAACGUUAAAAAAAAAAAAGUUAAUCAUGAGAUAGUGAGUUUGAAAGUCAAAUUUAAUUGGAAAAAAAGGGGUUUUCUAAAUUUCCCAAUCUCCUAUUUGAUACAUUGGUAUGCAAGCCUAGCAAAUUAGGAACACAGAAAUUCACUAUUGGUGCUAGAUACAGAUAAGUGGGGGCGUGGUGUCCACAAAGUUUGCACGCACCCCGAGACGAAAGGCUAGGGGUUGGCAUGUGGUGUGAGAUGUUGGGGAGAGAGAAAGUGAAGGUACUUUCUGGUUCCCUUGUCUCUGAGAGCCUUGCCCCGCAAAGGAUAGAAACUUCUUCAACAGAAACCCAAAACACGGGGGGGGGGGGGGGGGGGGGGCGGAGAACCUGAGAAUAUCUGCCUGAUGUCAAGCUCUGGAACACGGCCCUAGAAGAACACCACCAACAGUGGAGACAUCGGCACAGACCAGCCCAAACCAGCCCUGACUGUCCCUCCGGGCGGCACGGGCUGGUGAUCCAGAUGCUUCUUAGCAUCUGUGAGAGGGUCAGGGCGCUGAGGGGACCACAGGAGGCAGCAGCUGGGAUCUGGAUGAGAAGCUGAGGUGGGAGCUUUGCAUUCCAAGCCGUGCUGUGAGUCGAAAUGGAUUCAUGGGAUUGAUGUUCCCAUCACCUGACAAAUAUUCUCCAGACAAAUCAGAAACCUCAGAAACUGCAUGGAUGAUGCCCCUGCUUCCAUGGCAGCCUCCUGCGCCAGCUUCCCAUUGACCGGAUCGCCUCCUGAUGACAGCCGCUGUCUGGGCUUGUGGAGAGCAACCUGAGUGUGUCAGGGACCCUCAGCAUUUCGUCCUGAGAUGUCCAGGGAGUCUGGGUGACACAGGCCGCAUGACAAAUGGACUGGGAUGGAGGGAGGGCAGGCGACUGCGGUCCCAGACGGGACUCGAGGGCCGGGUGCUGCGCCACACGAAGGCAGACGGAGACUGGUGCUGCUGGGAUACAAGUGCCCGGAGGAGCACCCUUGUGUGCGGUUCUGCGACCUCGCCAGGGUCUGCGCGUGCCUGGUGGGUAAUGCAGCUUCGGUACCCACUCGCUGAACGGAUGUGUGAAUAGAUGAAUCUUAGGGAGCAGUACUGAGCAAGCACAUUCAGGGUACUUCCUGUGAUGAAUCCUCAUCCGUGCAUUCUAGAGCCUUGAGAGACAUACGUACACACAGACACAUACAUACCUGUGUGCACAUACAUGUAGGCACAUUAUUAUUACAGAGUGGUAUGUAACAUGUAUGUUACACAUACAUACUAUGUUAUAAUAAGUUUAAAUGGAAGAGAAAAAGUAUCCUACUUAGGAACAUAGGUUCCAGACAUAGAUCCUCUGCUGCAUCCAGACAUAGAUCUUCUGCUGCAAAUUACUAUAUUUUUUAAUGUUUUAUUUAUUUUUGAGAGAGAGGGAGAGAGAAAAAACAUGAGUGGGGGAGGGGCAGAGAGAAAGAGGGAGACAUAGAAUCCAAAGCAGGCUCCAGGCUCUGAGCUGUCAGGACAGAGCCCGAUGCGGGGCUUGAACUCAUGAACUGUGAGAUCAUGACCUGAGCCAAAGUCAGACGCUUAACCCACUGAGCUACCCAGGUGCCCCUCCCUCUCUGUUCUAAACCAGUAAAGGAUUUCAGUCUUUUAACAGGAAAAUGGCUUCCUUACAGUUAUAUCAUUGGAUAGUCACAAUCACACAGUAAUGAGAGAAAUCUGCUGAUGAAGUGAGUUACCAGCCCUAUUUUGCAGGAUGAUUUGGGGUAAAUACUGUGGGUCUCUUCCUCUGGUUCUUAGCUGUGUGCUCAGAGCGCCCCUUCUUCUUACUGCGACAGCCACCAGAUCUGCGCUGUGAUCAGCCCCGUAUUCAACCACCUCUCCUGACAAGUGCUGGCAGAAUGUGGUUCCUGUCCUGGCUCAUCCUGGUGGCCUCCCUUGGCAGCAUACAAAUGCAGACAUUUUAAUAACACGACGCUUACCAUCCAUUACCAAGAAAAAAGGAAACACAGCAUUUUUAGUAUGGCAAGUAAAAACAGGUGUCUUAAGGAAGAAUGUAAAUAUAGAGUCUUAUUGACAGAGGCCAGACCAGCCUCUAAACCAAAUUCUAUGUAUUUCUUCAAAUGCAUAUGUGACCACAAAGUGUUAGUGAAGAAAGGAAAUGAAGCCAGGAAAGGACAGAGGGAUUUGCCAGCGAGCCUGAGGAUACACCGAGUUAAUGAGGCAGGUGCUGGGCUGUAUGACUGCACCUGCUGGGAUCCACUGUAUGGAAAUGCGCCACUGACGCUGAACAGAAGCCCUCCCACUAUGCCAUACCCCCGAAAACAUAUACCCACGCCUUUCUAGCUCCCAAGGACCUGGCCACUGUCUAUACAGGACUUGUCUCCUGCAUCUGUGUCCUCAGCAAGGUCUGCACUAGGAGCCCAAGGAUGCAAUCUGUGAUGUUUCUUUCAGUUAGGUCACUCGAUUCUUAUCACUGUUGGGGACUGAAUGGCUUUUGUAAGUGUCCUGAAUUUUCUACUUCUCCAUUGAUGAGAAGCUUCCUGAGAAGGAAGCCAUGUCCAGUGUGCAAAAUGGUUUGCUGAAUGAAUAAUGAAUGAAUGAAUGAAUAGGAGAAUGAUGAAAACCACAAGGCCUCUGUUGUUUUUCUUUGUUUGCUUGAGAAAGAGAGAGAGAGAGAGAGAGAGAGAGCAUGAGCAGGGGAAGGACAGAGAGAGAAGGAGACACAGGACCCAAAGCACACUCCAGGCUCCUAGCUGUCAGCACAGAGCCUGAUGCGGGGCUCGAACUCAUGAACCUCGAGAUCAUGACCUGAGCUGAAGUCAGAUGCUUAACCAACUGAGCCACCCAGGGGCCCCCAUAAGGCCUUUGGAGUGAUAAAAACCUGGAUUUGAAUUCCUGCUCAGCCACUUAACUGACAGCACGAUCCAGGAACGUUACCAAAUCUUUCUCAUAGGGUUGCUGGGGACCGAAAGAGGUUCCACACAGGACAGUGCGAGCACAGGGUCAGCACAUCACAGUGUCAGUUCCCAUUACAGCUAAACGGCUUCCCUGAGCCAUCUCAGCUAAUACAGGAGCUCAGGGACUCUUUAAAAGUCACAUCUUGGGGCGCCUGGGUAUCUCAGUCGGUUGAGUGUCCGACUUCGGCUCAGGUCAUGAUCUCGCAGUUCGUGAGUUCGAGCCCCGCGUCAGGCUCUGUGCUGAGAGCUUAGGGCCUGGAGCCUGCUUCGGAUUCUGGGUCUCCCUCUCUCUCUGCCCCUCCCCCGCUCAUGGUCUGUCUCUCUGUCUGUCAAAAAUAAAUAAACAUUAAA